UAAGAGUCCACAGAAAUCGAAUAUCAAUAUUAUUUUUAUUCUAAUUACAUUGUGUAUAUGCACAAGCCAUCUUAUACAAAGCAGCCGAAAAAUAGGAAACCGAAACGCUGCAAUGUUUUUUGUAGAAAACUGCUUUUAUGUUUAUACUGGUUUUCUUUGACUAUUAGAGACACCAUCAAUAUAGAAGUUAUAGCCUACUCCAUGGCUGAUGUAUUGGACUACUAGGGCCUACUUUUAUUAUUCCAUUGUAUUAGCCUACUCAACAUUACAGACAACAAUCUGUUUUAUUUCCAGACAAAACUGAAGACCAGGAACUGGAACCUGGGAGCCUGGAAGAUGAUGUUGUCCUGAAGGACACAAUUCAGGCAGCAGCAUGGUGCCAGUUACAGUCUUUCAAGGACAGCGUUUCUCUCCCAGAGGUCAUUGGGAUGGAUGGUUGAGAGCAGAUGGCAGCAUCAACACAGCGCAAAUCCCAUGACGGCGGGGAUGAGGAAGAAACGUGGAAACCAUUCCAAUUCUCUGCUUACUACAGAGCUGCCAUAGAACCUAAGCAGAGACUGGCUGUAGCACUAAGGUACAUGGCUUCUGCACUGAGUGGGAGUCAGUAUUUCAAUUACAAGAAAACUUUCUCAAUAGUGCUUUUGGCACUUGUGGACUCGAACUACAGGUUCAGGGUCAUUCAAGUGGGGGACUUCAGAAGGACCAGUGAUGGCGGCGUAUAUGCUGGGUCAGCUCUCGGAAGAGGAAUGGAGACCAAAACGUUUCAUGUCCCACCCAGUACCUCUCUGCCUGGCGCUGCUCACUUGGGUGAUGUGCCACAUGUCAUGGUGGGUGAUGCAGCCUUCCCACUGAAGCCAUACCUAAUGAGACCAUACCCCGGACAGAACCUCACUCACCAAAAGAGGAUAUUUAACUACAGACUUUCAAGGGCAAGGAUGGUGGUUGAGAAUGCUUUUGGCCUUCUGUCCUCCAGGUGGAGAAUCUUGCAUCGCAGGAUCAACCUGCACCCAGAAAAUGUGGGCACCCUUGUUUUUGCUGCAUGCAUUCUUCAUAACUUCCUGCUUUUCCCGAGAGAGAAUGUGAGGUUGAUGGAGGAGGCAGAGCAACAGGGGAGAAACCUGCCAUCAGUACGUCACAUGGGAGGAAACAGAGCCUCGAGAGAGGCCUGUAAUGUGGAAAUGGAAAUCUUCGACACCUAUUUCAACUCCCCACAAGGCAGUGUUUCUUGGCAGGACAGGAUGGUUUGAAAGCUUUGCCAAAAGUGUGGAAAAUGUCUAUAUUUGUAAAUAGAUGUUUUUUUUGUUAUUCAGAUGUUUUUUUUUAUCAUGCUCAUUACAGAUGAGAUAAUCUUUGUUGUAUUCUAAAAAUGUCAUCAUUCAUUGUAAAUAAAACAUUU